UACGUAGGGGGCAAGCGUUGUCCGGAAUCAUUGGGCGUAAAGCGCGUGUAGGCGGCCCGAUAAGUCCGCUGUGAAAGUCCAGGGCUCAACCCUGGAAUGCCGGUGGAUACUGUCGGGCUCGAGUCCGGAAGAGGCGAGUGGAAUUCCUGGUGUAGCGGUGAAAUGCGCAGAUAUCAGGAGGAACACCGAUGGCGAAGGCAGCUCGCUGGGACGGUACUGACGCUGAGACGCGAAAGCGUGGGGAGCGAACGGG
rnacentral:rRNA from 1 species